GGCUAACUUACACUACAUUCUAUACAGCAUUUUAAUAUAAUUUUAUUCUCUCGCUUUUGAUCUCAUCAUUAUUGUGUACGGAAACCCUAUUCCUGAACUCAUCAGCUCUGUCAUUCCAUCUACAUUCUAAGGCUAAGUAUUUUACAUUUCAUCGGUUAUUUCAUUAUCUUUUGGAUCAAAUUAAUUCACUUGUCUAGAAACCACGAACAAUUUCAACUGUACCGUUUUACGGGUAAACAGAUAUAUCACCAUUGGAUCUGUGGUAGGCUUCUCACCUACCUUGAAGAGGGUUGGUUAAGUUUGGUUGACCAUUGAUAAGCUCAUGAAGAUCACACAGUUCCUACAGUUUGGACUAUUUAAUACAGCGGAGCAGCUUGCACAUGUAGACCUUUGGGAGGUAGUACUUACAAGGGUUCCUGUUUAUACUACAAAGGAUAGAAGUUUACAAUCCACAUUUAGUAGUCUUUACAAAAUGCCUUGGGUGUUCGAGUUGAGUUUAGCAUAAGUUUUUAUCUGCGGACUACUGAUAGUCUGAUCGAUCUAUACAUAUGUUGAGGACAUGCGCCGUUGACUUUGGUAGCCAUUAGGAUGAUCUGUUACUUUUAGCAGAAUAAGUAUAUAACAACACCUUACUGAUCUAGUAUAUAGAUGGCGCUGUUUGAGAAUUUAUACCGGGAAUGGUGUCGUCCUCGCAUUAUCUUGGUUGGUUAGAACCCGAGAAAAUGAAGUUGUUAGGCCCACAUUUGGUAUAACAGGCCUUAGAAAAAAAUAAAUCUGAUCCAAGUAUGACUCUGAUUAAAGUCAAAACGGGAAAAAGUCAUUUUCAAACAAAUUGCGUCUUAACUUGGAGUUCAUGGAGGGUAAUCAUAUUUUUAUAAAAGUUUUUCAAUGAAAAGGCUGAUGAGAUUCGGAAAGAAGCGCAUGCUUAGCCCGAGGCAUAUUGGCCCAUACAAGAUUAAAAAACAGGUCAAUGCAAUAGAUAAUAGACUAGCUUUACUAUUAGAAUUAUUAGUGGUUCAUUUGGUUUUUUAUGUGUCUAUGUUCUAAGAGUAUGUUCAUAACCCGACACACGUUCUUCGAGCUGAGUCAAUCCAGGUGGACCAGGACUGAUCCGAUGGGGAGGUCCUGUUAUCCAUUAUUGACAAACUAAUUCUCCAGCUUAGUUCGAAAAGUUUUAGUUGAUAAAAUAUUGCGACGAAUCAUCCUAAUCAUAAGGUUAAUUAUUUGAGAGUCUGAGCAGGACAGGUAUAAUAAGUAUUCAUAGUAGUUUGAUACUUUAAGCAUAAUUAAAUACUACAUAUGAUUGACAAAAAAAGGGCAUUUAGGACAUUUGAUAAGAAUGAGGAAAAGGAAAAAAUAAUAAAAGAAGAAGAGUAUAACUGGGGCAAGCUACAAUUUGAAAUAAUGCUAGAACAGGAGUCUUAAAGAGUUGGAAACGUUGCUAAAAGCUUUGGAAGAAGUUGUAUCUUAGCAAUGCAUCAUAUAGCUUUUUCUUAAAUCGUGAAGAACACAGAUAAGUAGAGAAAUUGUGAGAAAACGAUAAAAGAAAGAGAAAACAAGCUUGGGCUAAAAGGAUUCAAGUAAUAAUUUAUGUAGUUUGAAGGCAUUUGACGAAGUUAGAACAAGGAAGUAAGCCGAGGAGUUGAGUUGCGUAGCUCAAAGUUGAAGUAAGUGAAACAUUAAAUCAUGUUAGCUUUUUUCCUGGUGGUAAGAAAGUUCAAUAAAAGGAAAAAGGCACAAGUACAAUUAAGGUCGGAUCUCCAGUUAUGCAAUCCACCUUUGCAGUAUUCCUAUUACCCCUAGGCCCUAUACUAUACUAUCUCAAAGUGGAAUUAUUAUCCCUUGAUGUGGCACACAGAGUGAAAUACACUCUCUUGAAUAGAGUGAGAAGCCAAAAAAUGUUUAAAAUUUUAUUUCUAUAGCAUUAAUUUUACUACAUAUUAUAUAUUUUCCUAUUGUUUUCCUUCUUCAUUAUGUUCUUUCUUUCUCUCCUUGGACUAGUGGCAUGGACUCACCCGCCGAGAAAUUAUUAUACAUGGAUGCAUUAUGCAUUGAGUUAUGCUUCACAUUCACCUCCCGAAUUUCGUCGUGAUACCUUCCCAACAAAAUAAACCCCAUCCCCCAUCUCAAAAAAAUGCAUGUUCACAUAUCAUGACUUAUUAGAACUAAUGUCAGUCUCAGUUGCAUAUGCAUGUUAAAGAAAUAAAAUCAAUUUCAAAUAGAACUUGCUAAAUUUAAAGAGAAAUAAUGUUUCAAAUAAUUUUGAAAAAUCAAAGAAAAAAAUAAUGGACAUUAAUUAAGCAUGAGAGCGAGGCAUAGUGAAAGGGAGGGGAGUAAGAAAGUGAAACAUAGUGAAGAGAACUAGUAAUCAUUUUGGGGGACUAUAGCCUUACAAAUCCUAGAUUACAAAAUGUAAAAGUGUCAAUAGUGAUCUAGUCUUGGAUCCAAAAUAUACCAAUGAUAUCAUCUCAAUUCUCAUGGAACGUGCCUAAAGUUAGCUUUUUCUCCGCUAAUCGAGGUGAGAUAUUUCCUUUCCGUAUUUUCAUUAUUGUGUUCUAGAUAGGAGGCCUUUUCCAAGCAAUAAUGAAAGAGCUUUUUCUUUUAGUUGAUUUCGUUGAUUGAGUUUGUCCAAUUAUUACUUCUAAUAGUAUAGUAAUACUUAUAAUAAUUAAUGCAAGUAAUGGGAAGAUAACCUAUGGAUAUUGACAUUUUAAGUUUAUCUAAAGGAUAUUUACUUCUAAUAGGCAUUGGUGGAUUCCACGUCUUCUCUCUGCAGUGUGUGUCAGUGUUUUCUUUUAUCUCUAAGCAUAGCAGUAUAACGCAAGCCUCUUCUGAAAAUGACAUCAAUUUUUAAUUCUUUGUUAAAACAGUAUUAUCUUUGCAAAUUGUUAGUUAAAUUACUCCGGGAUAGUAGUGUAUUAAUAUUACUGGAUUUUAUCUCUAAAUUAUCUUGCACCAAAGGAGAAGUGAGGGACUGUCAAAUGUUGUCCUUAAACUAUUCUUCGUCAAACCACCCCGAAUACUGCUUUGUCGUCUAAUAUAGCCACUAAAGUAGAAUAGUAUUAUAUUUAUAUAAUAGACAGUAGAAAAGGCAAAUAUACGAUGACAAAUAACUAUGAUAAUAAUGCUUAAAUAGUUUAAAGAGUCAAAAUUUCUUAUUAUGGCUA